AAAUUGAAGCAUCUACCUGGAACAAGAACAUCAAGAAGGGAUUGCUCCGUGCCAGUAUGACAGACUUUCGAUAGGUUCAAGCUUGGCCGUGCAAAGCAAGCAAGGAACAAGAUUGUCAAGUCUGCCUAUCUGCGUUUGAAGAAGAACAUCCUGGUUGCCCAAGCGACCAACAGUAAAGGCAGCCAGGAAAAUCAGGGGACAGAAAUUGGCAAGAAGAAGGAACUCAAGGAGAAGAAGCCCAAGACCUGGAAGCCAAGGAAGACCAGAGGCCCCAGGGCAGCCAGAAACAAGGACGGCAAGCCUGCAAAGACAGUCAAGGCUUGCAAAGUAGAUUUUUGACUGAAUAAAGAGAGAAAA